rnacentral:rRNA from 1 species
CUAUACAUGCAAGUCGAGCGAAUCGANGGGAGCUUGCUCCCUGAGAUUAGCGGCGGACGGGUGAGUAACACGUGGGCAACCUGCCUAUAAGACUGGGAUAACUUCGGGAAACCGGAGCUAAUACCGGAUACGUUCUUUUUUCGCAUGAGAGAAGAUGGAAAGACGGUUUACGCUGUCACUUAUAGAUGGGCCCGCGGCGCAUUAGCUAGUUGGUGAGGUAAUGGCUCACCAAGGCGACGAUGCGUAGCCGACCUGAGAGGGUGAUCGGCCACACUGGGACUGAGACACGGCCCAGACUCCUACGGGAGGCAGCAGUAGGGAAUCUUCCGCAAUGGACGAAAGUCUGACGGAGCAACGCCGCGUGAACGAAGAAGGCCUUCGGGUCGUAAAGUUCUGUUGUUAGGGAAGAACAAGUACCAGAGUAACUGCUGGUACCUUGACGGUACCUAACCAGAAAGCCACGGCUAACUACGUGCCAGCAGCCGCGGUAAUACGUAGGUGGCAAGCGUUGUCCGGAAUUAUUGGGCGUAAAGCGCGCGCAGGUGGUUCCUUAAGUCUGAUGUGAAAGCCCACGGCUCAACCGUGGAGGGUCAUUGGAAACUGGGGAACUUGAGUGCAGAAGAGGAAAGUGGAAUUCCAAGUGUAGCGGUGAAAUGCGUAGAGAUUUGGAGGAACACCAGUGGCGAAGGCGACUUUCUGGUCUGUAACUGACACUGAGGCGCGAAAGCGUGGGGAGCAAACAGGAUUAGAUACNCCUGGUAGUCCACGCCGUAAACGAUGAGUGCUAAGUGUUAGAGGGUUUCC